rnacentral:rRNA from 1 species
AAURCAAGGCAGACGGCUCAGUAACGCGUAGUCAACCUAACCUAUGGACGGGAAUAACCUCGGGAAACUGAGWAUAAUGCCCGAUAGAACACUAUACCUGGAAUGGUUUGUGUUCCAAAUGAUUUAUCGCCGUAGGAUGGGACUGCGGCCUAUCAGUUUGUUGGUGAGGUAAUGGCCCACCAAGACUAUUACAGGUACGGGCUCUGAGAGGAGUAGCCCGGAGAUGGGUACUGAGACACGGACCCAGGCCCUAUGGGGCGCAGCAGGCGAGAAAACUUUGCAAUGUGCGAAAGCACGACAAGGUUAAUCCGAGUGGUUUCUGCUAAAGGAACCUUUUGUUAGUCCUAGAAACACUAACGAAUAAGGGGUGGGCAAGUUCUGGUGUCAGCCGCCGCGGUAAAACCAGCACCUCAAGUGGUCAGGAUGAUUAUUGGGCCUAAAGCAUCCGUAGCCGGCUCUGUAAGUUUUCGGUUAAAUCUGUACGCUCAACGUACAGGCUGCCGGGAAUACUGCAGAGCUAGGGAGUGGGAGAGGUA